AUUGAACGCUGGCGGCAUGCCUUACACAUGCAAGUCGAACGGUAACGGGCCUUCGGGUGCCGACGAGUGGCGAACGGGUGAGUAAUGCAUCGGAACGUACCUUUCAGUGGGGGAUAACGUAGCGAAAGUUACGCUAAUACCGCAUAUUCUGUGAGCAGGAAAGCAGGGGAUCGCAAGACCUUGCGCUGAUUGAGCGGCCGAUGUCAGAUUAGCUAGUUGGUGAGGUAAAGGCUCACCAAGGCGACGAUCUGUAGCGGGUCUGAGAGGAUGAUCCGCCACACUGGAACUGAGACACGGUCCAGACUCCUACGGGAGGCAGCAGUGGGGAAUUUUGCGCAAUGGGCGAAAGCCUGACGCAGCAACGCCGCGUGUGUGACGAAGGCCCUAGGGUUGUAAAGCACUGUGGGAGGGGAAGAAAAAACCGGAGUGUAUCCGGUCUUGACGGUACCCUGUUAGAAAGCACCGGCUAACUCCGUGCCAGCAGCCGCGGUAA
rnacentral:rRNA from 1 species